rnacentral:rRNA from 1 species
AGAGUUUGAUCAUGGCUCAGGACGAACGCUGGCGGCGUGCUUAACACAUGCAAGUCGAACGGAAAGGCCCUGCUUGCAGGGUGCUCGAGUGGCGAACGGGUGAGUAACACGUGGGUGAUCUGCCCUGCACUUUGGGAUAAGCCUGGGAAACUGGGUCUAAUACCGGAUAUGACCAAGGAUUGCAUGGUUCUUGGUGGAAAGCUUUUGCGGUUGGGGAUGGGCCCGCGCCCUAUCACCUUGUUGGUGGGGUAAUGGCCUACCAAGGCGACGACGGGUAGCCGACCUGAGAGGGUGAUCGGCCACACUGGGACUGAGACACGGCCCAGACUCCUACGGGAGGCAGCAGUGGGGAAUAUUGCCCAAUGGGCGCAAGCCUGAUGCAGCGACGCCGCGUGAGGGAUGACGGCCUUCGGGUUGUAAACCUCUUUCAGCAGGGACGAAGCGCGAGCGACGGUA